AUUGAACGCUGGCGGCAUGCCUAACACAUGCAAGUCGAACGAGUGGCGGACGGGUGAGUAAUGUCUGGGCACAUGCCUGGUGGAGGGGGAUAACUACUGGAAACUGUAGCUACUACCGCAUUCCAUCGCCUGUGUCCAGAUGGGAUUAGCUAGUGGGUGGGGUAACGGCUCACCUAGGCGACGAGCCCUAGCUGGUUUGAGAGGAUGACCAGCCACACUGGAACUGAGACACGGCCCAGACGCCUACGGGAGGCAGCAGUGGGGAAUAUUGGACAAGGGGGGAAAGCCUGAUGCAGCCAUGCCGCGUGUAUGAAGAAGGCCUUCGGGUUGUAAAGUACUUUCAGUAGGAAGGCGGUACCUGCAGAAGAAGCACCGGCUAACUCCGUGCCAGCAGCCGCGGUAAUUC
rnacentral:rRNA from 1 species